rnacentral:rRNA from 1 species
GACAGAGGUGCCGAGCGUUACUCGGAAUUACUGGGCGUAAAGCGUGCGUAGGUGGUUCGUUAAGUCUGAUGUGAAAGCCCCGGGCUCAACCUGGGAACUGCAUUGGAUACUGGCGAUCUGGAGUGCGGUAGAGGGUGGCGGAAUUCCCGGUGUAGCAGUGAAAUGCGUAGAUAUCGGGAGGAACAUCCGUGGCGAAGGCGGCCACCUGGACCAGCACUGACACUGAGGCACGAAAGCGUGGGGAGCAAACAGG